CGUGAGCGGCGGACGGGGGAGUAACGCGUGGGUAACCGUGCCUCAUACAGGGGGAUAACAGUUGGAAACGGACUGCUAAUACCGCAUAAGCGCACAGUACCGCAUGGUACGGUGUGAAAAACUCCGGUGGUAUGAGAUGGACCCGCGUCUGAUUAGGUAGUUGGUGGGGUAACGGCCUACCAAGCCGACGAUCAGUAGCCGACCUGAGAGGGUGACCGGCCACAUUGGGACUGAGACACGGCCCAA
rnacentral:rRNA from 1 species